UUUGAGUGCUUAGUAUGAAAGGUGGCAACCAAGGGUGAGGAUAUUAUUGGCUUGUACAGAGUUCAUAUAAUAUUGUCUUAGAUUUAAUUUUAUUUACCUUUGAAGAUCUUUGAGCAGGCACGAUAUAAGGUCUAGCCUGAUCCUACUGUGGAUGAAGUGAAGAAACUUUGUAAUACAUGUCGCCGAUAUGCCAAGUCUAAGAGGGUCCUAUUUCAUUAUAAUGGCCAUGGUGUGCCUAAGCCGACUUCUAGUGGUGAAAUUUGGGUUUUCAAUAAGAGUUAUACAGAGUAUAUCCCUUUGCCAAUCAGUGACCUUGAUUCCUGGUUGAAGACACCCUCCAUAUAUGUUUUUGAUUGCUCUGCGGCUGGGAAUAUUGUGAAUGCUUUUAUUGAGCUUCAUGAUUGGGUUGCUUCUAGCUCCUCUGGAUCCACAAGGGAUUGCAUUCUACUUGGAGCAUGUGAAGCACAUGAGACUCUUCCACAAAGUGCUGAAUUUCCUACAUAUGUGUUUACGUCUUGUCUCACAACACCUAUUAAGAUGGCUUUGA